rnacentral:misc_RNA from 1 species
GUAGGUGAACCUGCGGAAGGAUCAUUACAGAGUUCAUGCCCUCACGGGUAGAUCUCCCACCCUUGAAUAUUAUACCUUCGUUGCUUUGGCAGGCCGUGGAAACACCAUGGGCUCCGGCCGGCGAGCGCUUGCCAGAGGACCCAAACUCUGUUUGUCUGUAACGUCUGAGUACUAUAUAAUAGUUAAAACUUUCAACAACGGAUCUCUUGGUUCUG